AGACUCGUCUCUGGCUGCUCUCGAUAAGCCUCCGCGCCAAACCGGACAGCACGACUGAAGCGAGUAUCCAAAAGCGUCCGAAAAGUACGAGCAGUGCAGCGGCGCAGCUCCGCCCCGAGGUGGCCUGGAUCUGGAGUGAUCAAGUGCGAGGAGCAGCCAACUCUUCUAGGACACCCCCACCUCCGACACCUCCGUCAGCGGCGGCACGCCUUGCAGCAUCAGAGACGGUGCUGAUGGAGGAAGAGGAGAGAGGGCGAGAGGUUUCCCAGAGACUAUGGGUUGAGGAGGAAGUGGAAGUUUGUCGGCUUAGACCUGGUGUCAUUCCAUCAGUGUUAAACUUCCCGGCUCAUCUUGGAAGAGUACGUGCCAGAAAGACCACGACCAAGCAGCCUUGAGAUCUUAGACAGCGUCUCCCUCAGGUCCCUCUCUAUCUCCCCACACAUCCACCAACCACUGGAACACAUCUCCAAAGUUCUGCCGGGCCAGCUCAGCUUCCCCUCAGAAGAAGUGCCGCCACCUGCCAGAUGAAGGAGCCUUUUGAGAGGCAGCUGGCAUCGUGAUUGGACUGUACUUUGGUCUGUUCCAAUCCAGCUUCAGCUCCAGAGACGGCAGGCGGGACGAGUCAACGGAGGCCAGGUGGACGAAGGCAUGCAGUUGAGUACAAUCCAGAAAACAACAGAGGAGGAGUGCAGCGGCCCAGGGCCAGAACAGAACCAAAGAACUACAGACUCUUCACAACCUGCUCAAACUCUUGGUACAGGACCUCACCACACGGGUCAAGAAGGU
ensembl:lncRNA